AUUUUAUUAGUAUAAUAAGUAUAAUUAACUUCCAAUUAAUAGGUUUAUUCAUUUAAAUAAAAUA
rnacentral:tRNA from 1 species